CGUAGAGUUGAUCGUCGCGCGAGACGACGCUGGCGGCGCGCCUAACACAUAGCAAGUCGAACGGAGACAAUUAGGAGCUUGCUUUUGUAUUGUCUUAGUGGCGGACGGGUGAGUAACACGUGAGCAACCUGCCUUUCAGAGGGGGAGUAACGUUUGGAAACGAACGCUAAUACCGCAUGACAUAUCGGUACCGCAUGGCACUGAUAUCAAGGAGCAAUCCGCUGAAAGAUGGGCUCGCGUCCGAUUAGCUAGAUGGCGGGGUAACGGCCCACCAUGGCGACGAUCGGUAGCCGGACUGAGAGGUUGAUCGGCCACAUUGGGACUGAGACACAGCCCAGACUCCUACGGGAGGCAGCAGUGGGGGAUAUUGCACAAUGGGGGAAACCCUGAUGCAGCGACGCCGCGUGAGGGAAGAAGGUUUUCGGAUUGUAAACCUCUGUCCUCAGUGACGAUAAUGACGGUAGCUGAGGAGGAAGCCACGGCUAACUACGUG
rnacentral:rRNA from 1 species